GAAUAACAAACAAAGGUUGUUCUGUUACAGUACCAUCUGCUACACUGGCAGCAGCAGCCAAGGCUCAGGGUUCACCAGUAGAUGCCCCUGCAUCUCCAUCUGUAAAGAGACCAGUGCCCGUUCCCCAGGAGCUCAUGUGUCUGAUGCCAGAAGCAGCACGUCAUCCGUAAACAGAGGCGACAAUUCCUGUGUCAGAGGCGCUCCUGAUUUCUCCUGAGACGUCUGCAGAGCCCGGUCAACUGCCAACUCCACAGAGAGCAAAGUGAGCCAUUACCCAGGCCAAUAGCUGUCCCCACCUGUCCUCCUCCACAGCUUCCUGGCUACGACCAUGAUGUCCGCCAGUGGAACUGUUCACAGCAGCAGAGGAUCUGGAUGAAGGCGGCUCCCUUUGGAGAGUCCAGUGAUUCGGACGGCUGGAACGGGAUCAUUGUGUCUUCUCACUACCUGACUGACUGCUUGCUGCACGAGGACAAAGAGCAGGAGAGUGCCAUCAACACACUUUUGCAGGGCACCUUUGGACAGGCUUUCCGCUCAGACCACAUAGCAACAUUGCAAGGAAGAUCACCUUCUCAUCCGGCACCA